rnacentral:rRNA from 1 species
UACAGAGGUCUCAAGCGUUGUUCGGAUUCUUGGGCGUAAAGGGUGCGUAGGCGGCUCGGUAAGUCCGGUGUGAAAGCCAUAGGCUCAACCUGUGAAUGCCGCUGGAAACUGUCUGGCUAGAGUCCGGGAGGGGCGAGUGGAAUUCCUGGUGUAGCGGUGAAAUGCGCAGAUAUCAGGAAGAACACCCGUGGCGAAGGCGGCUCUCUGGGACGGUACUGACGCUGAGACGCGAAAGCGUGGGGAGCGAACAGG